UCAUGGUGUGUGGAAACAAGCAUAAGUUAUA
rnacentral:piRNA from 1 species